UACGGAGGGUGCAAGCAUUAAUCGGAAUUAUUGGGCGUAAAGGGCGCGUAGGCGGAUGAAUAAGUCAGAUGUGAAAUUUCGAGGCUCAACUUCGAAGCUGCAUUUGAAACUAUUAAUCUCGAGGAUUGGCGGAGAGAACGGAAUUCCACGUGUAGCGGUGAAAUGCGUAGAUAUGUGGAAGAACACCGGUGGCGAAAGCGGUUCUCUAGCUUAUACCUGACGCUGAGGCGCGAGAGCAAGGGGAGCAAACAGG
rnacentral:rRNA from 1 species